rnacentral:rRNA from 1 species
UACGAAGGGUGCAAGCGUUACUCGGAAUUACUGGGCGUAAAGGGCGCGUAGGCGGCAUGACAGGUCACUUGUGAAAUCUCUGGGCUUAACCCAGAACGGCCAAGUGAUACUGUCGCGCUAGAGUGCGGAAGGGGCAAUCGGAAUUCUCGGUGUAGCGGUGAAAUGCGUAGAUAUCGAGAGGAACACCUGAGGUGAAGACGGGUUGCUGGGCCGACACUGACGCUGAGUGCGCGAAAGCCAGGGGAGCAAACGGG